CUCAAUAAAUUCCACAAAAAUUCAAGCCUAAACAGAACACAUUCAAUGAGUAGCAUAUCAAAUUUCAUGCUAUUUGGACAAGUGGAAGUAGGGAAAUUAAAAUCAGGAAGUCAUGGUAUGCAAAUACAACUUCAAAUAAGGCCACAAAUCAUGUGUCAACUUCAAAUGAAUGCCAAACAGAAUUGGUGCAAGAUAAAUGAACCACUCCAAAGCCAAAAUAACAUUAAACAUGUUAAGAAUCAAUCCUCCAAAUUUCAGCUUCAUAUGAUAUAGCAUGAGAAUUUCACCAGUCAUGUAAGUUGAUCACCCAAGAAAGAUUCACAAAUGGCUAAACAGCAAAGAAAAUUAUCAAUCAAAUAGGAAAUGGAUCAACAAAUCCUACAAAAAAUCAUGGUUAAACCUAACAUACAGAUGGAAUCACAUGCAAAAAUUCAGGGCAAAUGGCAUUCAAU
rnacentral:lncRNA from 1 species